rnacentral:tRNA from 1 species
GCUUUAUAUUCAAAAAAUGAUAUAAAAUUGCAAAUUUUAAGGUGAAAAUAUUUUUCUAAGGCUU